UAAUAUUUGAGUAAAACCCUGAAAACCAUUUAUGUCUGUUUUAGCUUUUUGAGAUGUUUCCAAAGGAAAUUAUCUCAGUAAAUUCCCAUAAAAUUGCAGGAGCCCUCCCAAACCAUAUUAUGUGCUCACCUAAAAUCUCACCUUGAUCCAAGGUGGGGAAGUGCACUUAGAGAGCCCAAAACCCUCUCUGUCCAGAGUAGAGUUGAACAACUCUACAUUGCAAAGUUUCUCCAAUGGAGCUGAAACUUUGCACAGGUGUUUAACAC
rnacentral:lncRNA from 1 species